rnacentral:rRNA from 1 species
UACAGAGGUCCCGAGCGUUGUUCGGAUUCAUUGGGCGUAAAGGGUGCGUAGGCGCGGGGCAAGUCUGUUGUGAAAUCCCGGGGCUCAACCCCGGAACUGCAUUGGAUACUGCCUUGCUCGAGUACUGGAGAGGGAACUGGAAUUUACGGUGUAGCAGUGAAAUGCGUAGAGAUCGUAAGGAAGGCCAGUGGCGAAGGCGAGUUCCUGGACAGUUACUGACGCUGAGGCACGAAGGCCAGGGGAGCAAACGGG